ACUAUUGGGAUAUAUUAAUGUGCGCUUUUCCACAAAAACGACGCGUAUUCCUCUUUUAAAUUCCCAAGGGAGGUAGUGGUUCUGGUUACAAAAAAACAAGUACCUUAACAACGAGAACCUUCUUCGUGGCAAUCGCUACCUCAUCAAAAAAAUUAAGUGGACUAACUAGUGCCCUCCCCUUACUGUUCGGUUAACAUCGAAUGCCAGAGAAAAAUGGACAAGCGGGAUGGUGCGAUGGUGAAGGAAAAGGAAGCUCGAAGAAGGUUUGCAGUAAUACGGUACUAAACCGUUUUAAGAAGCCUGUGGUUACAUGAUAAAAAUGCUUAAUGUUGCUCUCGUUAUAAUUCAGUAUUUGAUAAACAAAUGGAAAAGAAUUGGACUAUUGGCAAGAUAUAGAAAAAUGCCACCUCAGUAUUUACUGAAAAGGGAUAGAAGCAUUCAAAUGAAAGAGAAAAAAAGGAAAUGUAUUCAAGAUUGGCAGUGGAAAAUUUAUGGAAAUUCCUAUAAUCCCACUAAGUGGAUUAAGUAGCAAUUAAGAAACCGAAAUUAGUACAAUUAUUAAAGAAAAUAAAGUAUAAUCUGUUAAUUUUAGCUUAUUCUAUAUUUCUUGGGUCAAUCUGAAGAACAUUCCGAAAGGAAUAAAAUAUACAGUGGGUAGUAGAAUUUCUAAUAUUUUUAUUAUCAAGAGAGAAUUAAAGGAACUGCCAAGUUUGAGAAAAAAAAAAUAGC